rnacentral:rRNA from 1 species
UACGAAGGGGACUAGCGUUGUUCGGAAUUACUGGGCGUAAAGAGCUCGUAGGCGGUGUGUCACGUCGGCCGUGAAAACCUGCAGCUUAACUGUGGGCGUGCGGUCGAUACGGGCAUCACUGGAGUUCGGCAGGGGAGACUGGAAUUCCUGGUGUAGCGGUGAAAUGCGCAGAUAUCAGGAGGAACACCGGUGGCGAAGGCGGGUCUCUGGGCCGAUACUGACGCUGAGGAGCGAAAGCGUGGGGAGCAAACAGG